UACAGGGGGGGCAAGCGUUGUUCGGAAUUACUGGGCGUAAAGGGCCAGUAGGCGGCCAACUAAGUCACACGUGAAAUCCCCAGGCUUAACCUGGGAACUGCGUGUGAUACUGGAUGGCUUGAAUUCGGGAGAGGGAUGCAGAAUUCCAGGUGUAGCGGUGAAAUGCGUAGAUAUCUGGAGGAAUACCGGUGGCGAAGGCGGCAUCCUGGUCCGACAUUGACGCUGAACGGCGAAAGCUAGGGGAGCAAACGGG
rnacentral:rRNA from 1 species